rnacentral:rRNA from 1 species
AUUGAACGCUGGCGGCAUGCCUUACACAUGCGAGUCGAACGGUAACAGGUCUUCGGAUGCUGACGAGUGGCGAACGGGUGAGUAAUACAUCGGAACGUGCCUAGUAGUGGGGGAUAACUACUCGAAAGAGUGGCUAAUACCGCAUGAGAUCUACGGAUGAAAGCAGGGGAUCGCAAGACCUUGUGCUACUAGAGCGGCCGAUGGCAGAUUAGGUAGGUGGUGGGAUAAAAGCUUACCAAGCCGACGAUCUGUAGCUGGUCUGAGAGGACGAUCAGCCACACUGGGACUGAGACACGGCCCAGACUCCUACGGGAGGCAGCAGUGGGGAAUUUUGGACAAUGGGCGCAAGCCUGAUCCAGCAAUGCCGCGUGCAGGAUGAAGGCCUUCGGGUUGUAAACUGCUUUUGUACGGAACGAAAAGCCCUGGGUUAAUACCCUGGGGUCAUGACGGUACCGUAAGAAUAAGCACCGGCUAACUACGUGCCAGCCGCCGCCGUAA